CAGCUUUGUGUUCCUGCGGUUCUUCGCCGUCGCUGUUCUUUCUCCGCACUCCUUCCAGCUCCGCUCCCACCACCCUGACCCUGAGAUCUCCCGCACGCUCACCCUCAUCUCAAAAACAAUCCAGACGCUGGGCAGCUGGGGGAGUCUGUCAAAAAAAAUGUCUAGCUUCAAAGAAACCUACAUGUACGACUUCUUCAAAUCAUUCCAAGAAGACAAGUGUAUCGAAAAAGUAAAAAAGUUCCUUGAUGAGAUCUCCACUAACGUCAGCAAAGAGUCCAGUGUGCUGGAGGACGCUGUGGUGCUGAAGGAGGGGUGAGU